rnacentral:lncRNA from 1 species
UAGAUAACAUGGAAUCCUGAGGGGGACCAGGCAGAAAGAUGAUGAAGAAAAAAGCAACUGGGUGGCUUAUAAAUGUUUGAGGAUAUGUAUGUUUUCACUGUUUCUCCUUCAGUGACAAAAACAUGAUAAUCUUGUUGGCCAUGCUUUGUUUGUUCUAUGAAGAUUAAGACAACAUAAGGAUCAUGGGACCCUCAUCUUAGAUAUAUAGCUAAUGAGGAUGUCACUUCAUAUUACUUUCUCAACCGCCCCA